rnacentral:lncRNA from 1 species
GAUUUAACAAAUAUGGCUUCUCAUUAAAUGCCAUGUUUUGAAGCCGAAGUUGACCGAUUGUUACCUUAAAGUAAACAAAUAACAAAAAGCAUGGGUAUUUAGCAUGUGUUUAACAGGUACAAACAGAUAAUUGUUUAUUUUAAUGACAGAUCCAUACGUAUUCCUGUGAUCACCGAAUUUUUACGAGGAGGGUUACGCUCAGGUCA